rnacentral:misc_RNA from 1 species
AAACACUGUUGCAGAAGACCAUCCCACAUUUAGGCAUUCAGAAGACCAAACAUCAGAAUUCAUUCUUCUUCUGUAUCCGAACGAAUAGUGGAUUUCUGGGGCUUGCCAUCGACCCACUUGGAGACGGCAAAAUGGACCUUCUCGCGAGUGAGAGCUUCGGUCUUGUAAGGCUCUUUGAGGCAGUUCCUCACCAGAUUAGCACAUAUGUUUGAGUACGUUAUAUAAGUCAUCCCCGCUGCUCUCCAGAACGGCACUGCUGCAUUGGAAGCCAUUUCCAACCCACUUGAGUUCUCGGUGCUUGCCUUCUCUGGUUAUAUUCGGCUUUCAAACAACC